CCUACGGGAGGCAGCAGUGGGGAAUCUUGCGCAAUGGGCGAAAGCCUGACGCAGCAACGCCGCGUGCGGGAAGAAGGCCUUCGGGUUGUAAACCGCUUUCAGAAGGAACGAAAAUGACGGUACUUUCAGAAGAAGGUGCGGCCAACUACGUGCCAGCAGCCGCGGUGACACGUAGGCACCAAGCGUUGUCCGGAUUUAUUGGGCGUAAAGAGCUCGUAGGCGGUUCGGUAAGUCGGGUGUGAAAACUUUGGGCUCAACCCAAAGCGUGCAUUCGAUACUGUCGUGACUAGAGUUCGGUAGGGGAGCGGGGAAUUCCUAGUGUAGCGGUGAAAUGCGCAGAUAUUAGGAGGAACACCGGUGGCGAAGGCGCCGCUCUGGGCCGAAACUGACGCUGAGGAGCGAAAGCGUGGGUAGCAAACAGGAUUAGAUACCCUGGUAGUCCACGCCGUAAACGUUGGGGCACUAGGUGUGGGGUCUCAACCAACGAGAUCCGCGCCGUCGCAAACGCAUUAAGUGCCCCGCCUGGGGNGGUACGGCCGCGAGUAAACGUUAAAGUAAGUAGAGGCGNGAGACGUGCCGACGGCGACGACGAGGGGAGGUAGG
rnacentral:rRNA from 1 species